GCAUUAAUGGGGUAGUGGUAACCUGGGUCGUUGCCAUGAACACAAAAUGCUGAUGCUACAUCUCGACCCGCCGGGGGUUCGAUUCCCCCUUAAUGCA